UACGGGGGGGGCAAGCGUUGUUCGGAAUUACUGGGCGUAAAGGGCGCGUAGGCGGCGCAACAAGUCACUUGUGAAAUCUCCGGGCUUAACCCGGAGCGGCCAAGUGAUACUGUCGUGCUAGAGUGCGGAAGGGGCUACUGGAAUUCUCGGUGUAGCGGUGAAAUGCGUAGAUAUCGAGAGGAACACCUGCGGCGAAGGCGGGUAGCUGGGCCGACACUGACGCUGAUGCGCGAAAGCCAGGGGAGCGAACGGG
rnacentral:rRNA from 1 species